UAUCCGUCGCGGGCGCAGGAAAUUUGAGAGGAGCUGUCCUUAGUACGAGAGGACCGGGAUGGACACACCGCUGGUGUACCAGUUGUUCCGCCAGGAGCAUCGCUGGGUAGCUAUGUGUGGCAGGGAUAAACGCUGAAAGCAUCUAAGCGUGAAGCCCCCCUCAAGAUGAGAUUUCCCAUUUCUUCGGAAAGUAAGAUCCCUGAAAGAUGAUCAGGUAGAUAGGUUUGGAGUGGAAGUGUAGCGAUACAUGGAGCGGACAAAUACUAAUCGAUCGAGGACUUAACCAAAA
rnacentral:rRNA from 1 species